rnacentral:lncRNA from 1 species
GCUCUGUGAAGUACCAUUAGCCGCGGGAAUAUCAGUAUGGUGACUCCUUACCCUGGGGAAGUGUACUUAGGCCACGGCUAGGUGAAGCCCAGGGAUAUUUCUGUUCGCCCAUGCAUCCGAGAAAGGAGUGUUAGACCUGACCCUGUUGUUUCUCCCAGCAGUGAGAACGUGGCCAUGGACAAGAAUUCCAAGUAGUGGCACUUCUGUAGACGACGCGGCCCUUUUGGGGUUACUACAGCCCAGGAAACUCACAUGCGACACGGCGCCAGCUGAAGUCCAUCUAGACCCCCGCAGACCCAAGGUCACAAGUUGAGAACCCCCUGCCGUGGACAUUCUUCUGCACCUAGUGGUGAAGCAGGUGGAGCUGCACCUUGCUCCGCCCAUUUGGAGACUGGUUCUGCACAUAUGAGUGUGCCCUGCAGCGAUCCUGCAAUCCUUCGUGACUAACAAGGACUUUCUGUGAAAACAGAUUUAUCUUUUCUUCUCUACCUUUAAGGUUUCUUGCUGUUGAGAAUAGUUAAGGGACGAGGAAUUCUUAUUGCCCCCAUUUUACAGGCAAAGAAACUAAUGCUGACCCCAACCUUACCGACCACUUGGAGGUCCCUAAAAACACAUGACCUUUGUGUUUCUCGGCUGUUAGUGGAAUCCUUUCUGUCUGCUCAUGAACUCAUCUUCAAACGCAUUCCAGGCCUUCAGAACUCUUCCGUGAGCGCAAGUCACUGAUUGCACUAGAAAGAACCACAUGGGGUUUAUUCUUCCCUCUUUCAAGAAACCUAAUGAAAUUGGGCUGAGAUUCCAAGGAACUCCUGGAAAAGAGUUAUCAGUGCCAGAAUGAAAGAUCCUAGAGGCAGAGCCCACCGUUCUACUCUAUUUAUAGUGGUGAAAGUUUGUACAUUUUGAAGAUGAUUUCCAUGGAAGACUGUACAGAGCUACAAACUAGAUGUUGGAAUGGAUUUGAGGAUCCUGCCAGAGACUGAAGAUGCUGGCUCAGAUAUAUCUCAGAAUAGAGUUUGGCUCUCCCUACUUUCAUUCAACAGCUUCACUCAUUUAGACCUAGCAACCCAACCUCACACCCUCCACUCUCACACCGUUAGAAUGACCCUUUGGAGCCUCAACUUUUGACCUGCCUUGCUCCAUCCCCUUUUCACAAGGGCAGGUUUAUUGUCUACUGGCAAUCUUGACUAGGGCCUUGGAAGAGGAUUGGACCUUAUUCACAGUGGUCUAGUGAUCAAAACAAGUCAUUGUUAAUACAUCAGUGUUACUACCUUGCUAUGCAUGUAACGCUGGAAAACAGCAUAGUGCAGUCCAUUUACCAAAACCAAAUCUUACUGCUAGUUGACCAACACCAUGUGGUACUGAGAAAAAUGUGUAUAGAACAACCCCUUACUGCUGUAUAAAACCAUUCCUUGCUUAAGGAUCACCUGACUUUUGAUAUCUUUACACCAGUGAUUGUCAACUUGGAAUGAUUUUUGCCCCUCCCCUCAUGGGGAUAUUUGACAAUGUCUGGACACAUUUUUUAUUGUCACAAUUGGGAGAAUUCUACUGGCGUCUAAUAGGUUGGGGCCAAGGAUACUGCUAAACAUCCUUCAGUGCACAGACAGCCACAUACACAAAGAAUUUUCCCAACCAAAGGUCAAUAGUGCUGAUAUUGAGAAACUGCCUUAAAGAAUCUUCAGGUGAGACUACAUGGGAGGUUCUGUUAGCAGUAGCGAAUCCAUACAGGUCUGCAGCAACCUCAAUUCUUGCCUCCUCAGAAGAAAGAAUUCAACCAAGGAGGCAUUAGGCAAUAGGAAAGACCAAUGCAAGUUUUAGAACAGGAAUAAAAGUUUGUUUAAAAGCUUUAGAGAAAGAACAAAAGGAAGGAAAGUCCACUUGGAAGAGGGCCAAGCAGGUGACUUGAAAGACGAGUGGUUUGACCUUUUGACUUAGGUUUUUAUAUGUUAACAAACUUCCAGGGCUUGCAUUUUAUUCUCCCCUCAUUCUUCCUUUGGGGUGGGCUGUCUGUAUGUGCAGUUGCCUGCUAGCCCUUGCAAGGGGAGCAUGCAUGGUGUGUUUACCGGAGUUGUACACAUGCUCACUUGAGGCGUUCUUCCCUUACCAGUUGAAUGUCCCUAGGAGGCCAGAUACCAGUUCAGCUCUGCCAUUUUGUCUCUUAAUGCACAUGCUUGAGCCCACUAGUGCAACUCCUGAGAUCUUAUU